GAAACUUGGUGGAACGAUCUGACGAAAAAGUGUGCGAGUUAUUUACUGCUGGUUACCGCUACAUUGGGUCACCCCUCGGGAAAGAUGAAAACAAAAUUUCUCGGGCAACACUGAUGGAAAUCAACAAACAAGUUUGCAGACAAAUCACAUGGUAACGUCAUGUUAAAAGGCAAUGCACGAAAAAGUGAUAUUUUUUCCUCAAAACAAACGGUACAAUAAACGCUGAGUACAUUUAUUUUGGGUUUGCAGUUCGCCGUGACCUGAAUCGGUUUGCUAAAGUGGAACAAUCUAGCAUCAUGUUCUGCGGGGACAAAAUCUCGCUGAUGGAGGAAAUUGUGGAUCUUGGACUCACCAUGGACAUUAAUCUCACCUGGUCACACCAGGUUUUCCGUUGUUUUGAUGGUGUCAAUACACAAAAAGCUUGUAUGCUUUUUAUAUAAAGCGAUGUGAUCUACUACCCAGGAUUAAACUCAUCCUAAAAUUCGUUUACGAUCUACGUCCUAGAGAUACAACUGCCACCGUGGUCUCCUAAGGCACGACCUUUCGACGAUCUUAUUUUAUAUGGUGCAUAGUAGCAAGAACUUCCUGACCACCUCCUGAAUCUAUAGAAACAUGAAUCGCUCCUGUUCCUUCACCAUCUCGCUACAUACUCGCGAAAGAGCGUGCUAGUAUACGACGCAUCACUGUGAAAUGCCCCCCCCCCCCUCUCGACUAAAACGAAAUCACCCGUCCCCCUUGAAAGCUACCUAAGAAGAUUUUAUUAAACUGUAACUAAAUAGUGGUUUGUGGUUUUGAGAUUUUCUUCUCAUUAUUAAGGGCCGAUUUAUUCAUUCUCAUUUAAUUUUUAUAACUGGUUUAACGCACCACACUAAAUUUGGUAUAAAAGUUGAGCGAGGUUGAUGAAAUCAGGCCUAAAACAUGGAUUUUCCUUGAUCUAAAUUGACACAUGGAUUCUCAGUCGCCAAAUGUACCAAGUUCGGGACAGGAUGUUCUACUUCCUGAUUAUAGUCACGGUUAUGUGCCCGCAUCCAGCUAAACAGUUUACAUCCAGUGAUCAUUACGGCAUCAGCUGUUUUGUUCCAUGAAGUGUUAUAAUAUAGCGGAGGACUAUUUAGGCGAUUGAAUAUAAUGGACAAUAUAUACGUGUAUUUGGUUUUGAUAAUUCAUGAACUCAUCAGAAACAUUCUUAACGCCUAGCGUGUACUAGUAGUUACUAGACAAUUUUCCAACUUCAUCAGCAAAAAAUAAAACCAAAAAUCAAUCUCGCCCAUACGAAGUUUUUAUUCCUUAUUAUUUCUCUUCCUUUUCUUGUCCGCCCAUCAAUUAGCAUAAUGUUCUCCUGCUCGGUUUAGCCAGUACACUGGACAGUUAUCCAGCUCUGUUUUCGACGCUACGUUUUGCAGAGCUAGAAGCAACCUUUGAACUUUAGACUUUAGAAUCGGUACUUUUCAAGUUUUAGGUUACACAGCGCUCGCAGUAAUAAAUCACUGGAUAAUAUUGUGCCGGAGAGUGUUAGAGUACCACGUACUGAGAACGAUACGAAAAUUCUUGUUUAAUGUACAUGGAUUCGUUGUGAUUGACAAAAUUAUAUUCUGAAAUCAACUUAUUUGGAUUACAUUCAUCAAAAACAGAUAUUUCAUAUCUUUAAUUUUUAGGGCAAAGGCGGAAUCGUUUCCAGGUACCCAGUAAGUCCAGACAGAAAAUGAGCGGCCAUGUCACUGGAGCCAGAGCCAGCCAUAUUUCCGGUUCAUUUACUGACUGACUUUACUGAGUAGACAACAGAAUGGCCCUUUCCAUAUCAGUCGGUGGCGCAAAAAAUACAGAGGUGAAAAAUUGUUCAAAUGACUUAAAUGUAUUAGCUAUAGUUAUACAUCAGCGAAAAAAAAGCUCAAAUGACGAAGUAUCCAUGAAAUAAUGAAGCAGAUCCGGGCGGAACAAUUAUUGGGUGGUGAGUUGACACGGGAAGUAGUUCAGUUCGUUGUGGAAAAAUUUUCGUCACUUGGUGAAUUGUGAAAACAGUACGAGCUGGCGAUCUACUACGAGUUCGUUUUUCGAUAUGCAUAACACUAAGUAACGGAUAUUAGUAAUUCGAUUAUAAUUAAAAAUCAUACCGUGAUGCCUGUUUCCAAAAACCGUUGAUUGUAUCUAAAUAAUAAAAUCUCGCGAGCGGUAAUAUUGAUCACAUCGAAAGCUCUCAUUUGACACCUGAAUACGCAAUCAUCACGCAAAUUUAUUUUCUGCCCUGGUUUUUGGUAUUGUUUCAUGUAGCAUUCGUCGCCAAAAAGGACACAAAAUCAGCUUCCGUAUGACCAAAGCCGUUACAUAGUAACAAUUGUACUGGAUAAUGGUUUUCUAGCAGCUACCACGACAGCAAAAUCCUUAAAUAA